UACCCUGCAUGGGACAUGCAUUCAGCAGUUCAUUCCUGCUGGGUGUUCAAAGGAAAGUGCGAUAUAAAUUCAGAAUUGGCAUCAUUGGUUUUCUCGGCUUUGAGAAUGUUAAACCUGGUAAUUUCAUUGAUAUAGUA